rnacentral:rRNA from 1 species
UACGUAGGGUGCAAGCGUCGUCCGGAAUUAUUGGGCGUAAAGAGCUCGUAGGCGGUCUGUCACGUCGGAUGUGAAAAUCCAGGGCUCAACCCUGGACCUGCAUUCGAUACGGGCAGACUAGAAUUCGGUAGGGGAGACUGGAAUUCCUGGUGUAGCGGUGAAAUGCGCAGAUAUCAGGAGGAACACCGGUGGCGAAGGCGGGUCUCUGGGCCGAUAUUGACGCUGAGGAGCGAAAGCGUGGGGAGCGAACAGG